CUGGGCCUUGCGCCUGCGCUCUCGGUGCACGGCGUCGGGGCGUUUGCGGCCGGUCAGUCUUAGCAGCUCUCGGCCCAGGGAGAGGCCGCGGCCGGAUCGAGGGGCCCGCGAGGCUGUGGUCAGGGGUGCACAGCCGGAUCCCGCGCCGGCGCCGCCAUCGGGGCCGGAGAGCACGCCCAGGCUGGGCGGCACCCGCGGGCAGCGCCGGGCCAGGCGCACGAGGCGCUCGCGGCUCAGGCCGCCCACGGCCAGCCCCUCCACCUCCAGGAUCUGGUCCCCGGGCCGCAGACCCCCGGUGUGUGCGCUGCUCCCUUCGGCCACCUCCAGGACGAAGCAGGGACCCGAGCCGCCCAGCCGGAAGCCGAAGUCCUCGGGCCAGCCCUGGUUGGUGGCUGGCAUGGCAGUGGUGUCCGAGCAGCUGGAGAGCAAGAGAGACUGCACGCUGGGCUGCAUGCCGCUCAAAGACUCAAGGCCUGUGCUAGUCUGAGUCUCUACUUCUUCCUCUCUGCCUCCAUGUGGAGGAUGAGUUCUUAGGAUAUUGUCGGAACUCUUGGAUCCAGUUGUGCCUGAUUCACCAACUUGCACGGGACAAAAGGACUUCCCAGUGGUAUGGAUUUACCCAAGAGAAAUGAAAGCAUAUGCCCACACACAGACUUGGACAUGAAUCCAUCGACAGAUGAAUGGAUAAGGAAGAAGUGGUACAUAUAUGUGAUGGAAUACUACUCGGCCAUAAAAAAGAAUGAAAUAAUGCCAUUUGCAGCAACAUGGAUGGACCUAGAGAUUAUCAUACUAAGUGAAAAUGUUGGAUCUUCCCGGACCAGCGAUCGAACCCAUGUCCCCUGCAUUGGCAGGCGGAUUCUCAAACACUGCACCACCAGGGAAGCCACUGCCCUUAGUAAUCUUAAGAGAAUCUCAAGGAUGGGCCUCAGUAUGGCACAUGUUUUGAAGAGGAUUGGUCAGCUGUUCCGCAGAAUGUUCCUCACUUGGCAAACUUUGGAAACAUCCAGCCCAACCCUGGUGCCCUGUUAAGAGUAUAUUGUAGUUGAUCUGACUUCCCCCAUAAGAAGAUGCUUUUUUCUCCUUAAAUAAUCCACAGAAAUAUGACUGCGAACACCACAAAAUGAAUCUUGUUUGUUAUGGCUGAAUUGUGUCCCCUCAAGUUCAUAUGUCGAAUUCCUAACCCCUGUACCUCAAAAUGCGACUGUAUUUGCAGAUAAAUCUUUAAAGAAGUGAUUAAAUUAAAAUAAGGCUGUUAGGGUGGCCCCUAACCCAAUCUGACUGGUGUCUCUAUAAGAAGUGGACAUUUGGACACAAAGAGACAACGAGGGAUUCAUGUGCACAGAGGAAAGACCAUGUGAGGACACAGCACCAAGGACAGAGGCUUCAGGAGAAACCAACCCUACCAACACCUUGAUCUCAGAUCUUGAAAUCUGUGUGAAAAUUAAUCCCUAUUGUUUGAGCCACCCAGUCUGUGGUAUUUUUAACGCAGCCCUAGCAAACUUAUGCAUUGCUGUAGUGAAGUUUCAUCAGAAUAUGGUUAAAAGGCUCUUCACUCAGGAUGUGUUAAGAGCUAGGUAAGUGGCCUUGGCCAAGGAGAGCAAAUGUGGGCAAACAGAGAUUGAUUGCGAAGACCCAGACAUCAGUUUAAAAUUGGCUUGUGUCUUCCUCUCUCCAUGCCAAGUCUACCCUGACACAUCCAGCCACUCAGGACUGAGGACACAGAGUCCGAACUGGGCAUUGAUAUCUUGCAGUCAUGUCAUGUACUCCUACCCAAAGCCUCUGAGUGUAUCUGCACUGUAUCCUUAGGACCUUGGGUAACAAAGGCAGGGGAAUAGGCAACAGCCUACUGAGGGGAUGGAAGGGUUGGUCCAGAUGAUUGUCCAUCCCUGUGACAUGAGAGCUGAAGUUGACCAGUGUCAUAAUGGAAUUUUGAUGACUGGCAUGGGGUCAUCAACUUGGCUAGUGUAUUAGUCAGGGUGAUGCAUGUUGGCUGUGGUACCAAACGACCUGCAGUCUCAGUGGCUUAACAUAAUAAAGUUUUAUUUAUUGCCUA